AGAGUUUGAUCAUGGCUCAGGAUGAACGCUAGCGGCAGGCCUAAUACAUGCAAGUCGAGGGGUAGUGGGAGCUUGCUCCCAUGAGACCGGCGCACGGGUGCGUAACGCGUAUGCAACCUACCUAUACCUGGGGGGAUAGCCCGGAGAAAUCCGGAUUAAUACCGCAUAAAAUCACAGUACCGCAUGGUAUAAUGAUCAAACAUUCAUGGGGUUUAGAUGGGCAUGCGUGACAUUAGUUAGUUGGCGGGGUAACGGCCCACCAAGACCGCGAUGUCUAGGGGAUCUGAGAGGAUGGCCCCCCACACUGGUACUGAGACACGGACCAGACUCCUACGGGAGGCAGCAGUAAGGAAUAUUGGUCAAUGGGGGCAACCCUGAACCAGCCAUGCCGCGUGCAGGAAGACGGCCCUCCGGGUUGUAAACUGCUUUUAUUCGGGAAUAAACCUUUCCACGUGUGGGAAGCUGAAUGUACCGAAGGAAUAAGGAUCGGCUAACUCCGUGCCAGCAGCCGCGGUAAUACGGAGGAUCCAAGCGUUAUCCGGAUUUAUUGGGUUUAAAGGGUGCGUAGGCGGCCUGUUAAGUCAGGGGUGAAAGACGGUAGCUCAACUAUCGCAGUGCCCUCGAUACUGAUGGGCUUGAAUUGACUAGAGGUAGGCGGAAUGUGACAAGUAGCGGUGAAAUGCAUAGAUAUGUCACAGAACACCGAUUGCGAAGGCAGCUUACUAUGGUCUUAUUGACGCUGAGGCACGAAAGCGUGGGGAUCAAACAGGAUUAGAUACCCUAGUAGUCC
rnacentral:rRNA from 1 species